AUGGGCAUCCAAGGGAACAAGGCGACGCACGACUUCCUCUCGCUCUACGCCCCCGCCGCCGCGGCCGCGGCCGCCGCCAAGGACUCGUCUCUCCAGCUCCACGACUCCAAGCCUCCCGCCGCCUCCCAAGGUUUCUUUCUGAAGACGCACGACUUCCUGCAGCCGCUGGAGAAGCCGGCGGCGUCGGCACCGUCCGGCGCGGAGAGGCAGCCGCAGACGACGAAGCACGCGCUGCCGGGCGGCAUCGGCACGUUCAGCGUCAGCCAGCAGGCGCCCGGAGCCGCCGGACCACUGCCGGCCGCCACCGCCGCGGUGGUGGUGAAGCCCGAGCCGCCGGCGUUCGUGCUCUGGGGCCAGCCCACGGCAUCACAACCGCCGAGAGCACAAGGGCACCACCACCAGUGGACGCUCCCCUACGCCGGCGCCGGGCAGGCGGCCACCGCGUCCAGGAAGCACCCGGCGGAGCGGAAGCGGCGCGGCGGCGGCGGGUUCAUGGACUCUGGCUCCAGAUCCAGCGGCGGCGCCGGCUUCGACGACGACGACGGCCUCGCCGCGCGCCGCGAGGUCUCCUCCUCGCUGCAAGCAGAGUUAGCUGUGAGGGUGGAUGCGAAGGGCGGGAGCUGCAGUGGCAGCGGCACGGAUCAGCUGCCAAACACACCAAAGUCAAAGCAUUCUGCAACUGAGCAGCGCCGCCGUAGCAAGAUCAAUGACAGGUUUCAGAUACUUAGGGACCUUUUACCACACACUGAUCAAAAGAGAGACAAGGCAACAUUUCUCUUAGAGGUUAUUGAAUAUAUACGAUUUUUGCAAGAGAAAGCACAGAAGUACGAGGCUUCAUUUCCAGAAUGGAACCAAGAAAAUGCAAAGUUGCUCCCAUGGUCAAACAUGUAUUUUCGAUCAUCUUGGAAAAAUGCACAGAGUAAAGGGCAAAUCGCAGAAGAUGCCUCACCUGACCCUUCACAAUUCAUCAGAAAUGGGGCCUCCCCUGGAUUCAAUAUCACAGGCAAGCUUGAUGAUAACCACACCGCGGUAGCAUCUGCAGCUAUCUCAGGGGCACCGGAUCAGGCAGAAACCGAACACAUGGCUAGUGUGUCCUGUAGAUCGGCAGACACUCCAACAAAUAUUAUGAAUAAUGUUUCGCCCCAGUCUCAACCACAAUGGGCAGAUCCAUCUGGUGUGGAUGAUUGCGCGGUGAACAGUGGCGUGUUAAAUAAUCAACAAUUGAUGAUUGAUGAAGGAACAAUCAGCGUGUCAAGCCAAUAUUCCCAAGAGCUACUUAAUACGUUGACUCAUGCUCUUCAAAGCUCGGGUAUAGAUUUGUCCCAAGCCAACAUAUCCGUCCAGAUCAACCUGGGCAAGCGGGCUGUCAAAAGACCUACUGCUGGACAAUCCUCCAGUUUCAAGGAGCACACCGACCUAGGCCCGACGAACAACAUGAUGGGCCAUCAGCAGGCGAUGCUGGGCAACGCCACCGAAGAGCUUCCGCAUGCAACGAAGCGGUACAAGCCGGGCAACACCUGA
rnacentral:rRNA from 1 species